rnacentral:tRNA from 1 species
GGCCCAGUAGCUCAAUGCGACAGCAUACCAAGCGAUGGAUCUGGGCUGCAGGUUCAAGUCCUGCCUGGGCCU